rnacentral:lncRNA from 1 species
CCUCAUGGAUACCGUGUCAGAACUAAAGAUGGCCUACCGGGACUUGGAAGACGAGUUCAACCAUCUUCGCAUUAGCAAUAAUUUGAAGAUCAAGAGAAUCGCUAAGGCGAUCAACAGAGAGGAUCUCCUAGAGAUCCCGUCUCCCUAGUUUACUUUAAUUAGACUAUUAGACACUUAGUUUGAAUAAAAAUGUUUAGUUAGGAUAAAACAAGACAUUGAGUUCUGCUGGUGUGUUGCCACAAGCAGAACAUGUGCACGUGACGUCUCUUGUUUUGUUGAAAUUUAGAACGCAGAAAACCUCAAGUGUGGGUGAUCGGCCGAUCCACCCAAUGUCAUCACUGGACGAAACAAAGCACGCACUUUGGUCAGGAGCACAUAUCCGAGUUGACACGCCAAAUAUUGACCCAAAAGAUGGGUCGGUCGACCGAGGCUUUUGCACCAUCCGGAAAACGGACGUCACAACAACACUCCACGCGUCGAGGGGAACACAGGGGCCACCCUGGGCACACCAGGGUAGGGUCGGUUGACCCAGUGGCGGAGCCAGGAUUUCACAGCUGGGUAUUCCCCGUAUAAAAAAAUUUAAUGCAUAUGUGUAAUAGUAAUGGAGAUAAAAUCAAUACAAAAUUAAUCCUGGUGCACAACUCAAAUAGUACAUAUUAAAAUAUAUGCUAAAUGAACUAUUUGUUUAUCCUGGUAAUAAGGCAUCAGACAAAGUGAGCCUAAUGUCGCCCUGGUAAUAAUCAAAGUAUAUAUAAAUUCUUUAUCUAUGUUACAAGAACACAAUGCAACAUUGCUUUAAAAAAAUCAAAACGCAACAAAAAAAAGAAAACGAAACCUUUAAUUCUUACUUUGAAGAAUAAAAAAAUAGAUGUGAGAUCUUUGUGUUCACCUUGUUGUUGCUUCAAGUCGUAUAUGAGAAAGGCGUUGAGGGGGAGCCGUAUAUGAGAAAGCCUACAAAGACCACUGACCGCCGUCGCCGCUAGAGGAAU